rnacentral:rRNA from 1 species
GACGAACGCUGGCGGCGUGCUUAACACAUGCAAGUCGAGCGAGACUUCGGUCUAGCGGCGAACGGGUGAGUAACACGUGGGCAACCUGCCCCGAGCUCUGGGAUAACUCCGGGAAACCGGGGCUAAUACCGGAUACGACCCGAGAAGACAUCUUCUCGGGUGGAAAGUUUUUCGGCUCGGGAUGGGCCCGCGGCCUAUCAGCUUGUUGGUGGGGUAAAGGCCUACCAAGGCGACGACGGGUAGCCGGCCUGAGAGGGCGACCGGCCACACUGGGACUGANACACGGCCCANACUCCUACGGGAGGCAGCAGUGGGGAAUAUUGCGCAAUGGGCGAAAGCCUGACGCAGCGACGCCGCGUGAGGGAUGAAGGCCUUCGGGUUGUAAACCUCUUUCAGCAGGGACGAAGCGAAAGUGACGGUACCUGCAGAAAAAGCACCGGCCAACUACGUGCCAGCAGCCGCGGUAAUACGUAGGGUGCAAGCGUUGUCCGGAAUUAUUGGGCGUAAAGAGCUCGUAGGCGGCCUGUCGCGUCGGCUGUGAAAACUCAGGGCUCAACCCUGAGCCUGCAGUCGAUACGGGCAGGCUAGAGUCCGGCGGGGGAGACUGGAAUUCCUGGUGUAGCGGUGAAAUGCGCAGAUAUCAGGAGGAACACCGGUGGCGAAGGCGGGUCUCUGGGCCGGAACUGACGCUGAGGAGCGAAAGCGUGGGGAGCGAACAGGAUUAAAUACCCUGGUAGUCCACGCCGUAAACGUUGGGCGCUAGGUGUGGGGAACCUUCCACGUUCUCCGUGCCGCAACUAACGCAUUAAGCGCCCCGCCUGGGGAGUACGGCCGCAAGGCUAAAACUCAAAGGAAUUGACGGGGGCCCGCACAAGCGGCGGAGCAUGUGGCUUAAUUCGACGCAACGCGAAGAACCUUACCAGGGUUUGACAUGCAAGGAAAUCCCAUAGAGAUAUGGGGUCCGCAAGGGUCUUGCACAGGUGGUGCAUGGCUGUCGUCAGCUCGUGUCGUGAGAUGUUGGGUUAAGUCCCGCAACGAGCGCAACCCUCGUCCUAUGUUGCCACCAGGUAAUGCUGAGCACUCAUAGGAG